CAGUAGCCACGGUAAUACGAAGGGUGCAAGCGUUACUCGGAAUUACUGGGCGUAAAGCGUGCGUAGGUGGUGGUUUAAGUCCGUUGUGAAAGCCCUGGGCUCAACCUGGGAAUUGCAGUGGAUACUGGGUCACUAGAGUGUGGUAGAGGAUAGUGGAAUUUCCGGUGUAGCAGUGAAAUGCGUAGAGAUCGGUAGGAACAUCUGUGGCGAAGGCGACUAUCUGGGCCAACACUGACACUGAGGCACGAAAGCGUGGGGAGCAAACAGGAUUAGAUACCCCUGUAGUCCCUGUCUCUUAUAC
rnacentral:rRNA from 1 species